AGAAUCAACGCUGGCGGCGUGCCUCAGACAUGCAAGUCGUACGAUUAAGGCUCUCUUCGGAGAGUGCAUAAAGUGGCGUACGGGUGAGUAACACGUAAGUAAUCUACCUUUGAGUGGGAAUAACAGUCGGAAACGACUGCUAAUACCGCAUAAUGCAGCGGCUCGACAUCGAGACAGUUGUUAAAAGAAUUUAUUCGCUUAAAGAGGAGCUUGCGGCAGAUUAGCUAGUUGGUAAGGUAAUGGCUUACCAAGGCUACGAUCC
rnacentral:rRNA from 1 species